UACGGAGGGUGCGAGCGUUGUCCGGAAUCACUGGGCGUAAAGGGCGCGUAGGCGGCGCGGAAAGUCGUCGGUGAAAGCUCGGGCUCAACCCUGAGUCUGCCGGUGAUACUCCCGCGCUCGAGCUCACUAGAGGCAGAUGGAAUUCCGGGUGUAGCGGUGGAAUGCGUAGAGAUCCGGAAGAACACCGGUGGCGAAGGCGGUCUGCUGGGGUGAGGCUGACGCUGAUGCGCGACGAGCGUGGGAGCAACAGG
rnacentral:rRNA from 1 species